UACGGGGGCAGCAGUGGGGAAUAUUGCACAAUGGGCGCAAGCCUGAUGCAGCCAUGCCGCGUGUAUGAAGAAGGCCUUCGGGUUGUAAAGUACUUUCAGUCGUGAGGAAGGUGUUAAGGUUAAUAACCUUAGCAAUUGACGUUAGCGACAGAAGAAGCACCGGCUAACUCCGUGCCAGCAGCCGCGGUAAUACGGAGGGUGCGAGCGUUAAUCGGAAUUACUGGGCGUAAAGGGCACGCAGGCGGUUAAUUAAGUUGGAUGUGAAAUCCCCGGGCUUAACCUGGGAAUGGCAUUCAAGACUGGUUAGCUAGAGUCUUGUAGAGGGGGUAGAAUUCCAUGUGUAGCGGUGAAAUGCGUAGAGAUGUGGAGGAAUACCGGUGGCGAAGGCGGCCCCUGGACAAAGACUGACGCUCAUGUGCGAAAGCGUGGGGAGCAAACAGGGAUUAGAUACC
rnacentral:rRNA from 1 species